UACGUAGGUGGCAAGCGUUGUCCGGAUUUACUGGGCGUAAAGAGCGCGCAGGCGGUCGAUUUAGUCGCGUGUGAAAGCCCCCGGCUCAACUGGGGAGGGUCACGCGAUACUGAUCGACUCGAAGGCAGGAGAGGGUAGUGGAAUUCCCGGUGUAGUGGUGAAAUGCGUAGAUAUCGGGAGGAACACCAGUGGCGAAGGCGGCUAUCUGGACGGUUUCUGACACUAAGACUCGAAAGCGUGGGGGAGCAAACAGG
rnacentral:rRNA from 1 species